GAUGAAGAACGCAGCGAAAUGCGAUAAGUAAUGUGAAUUGCAGAAUUCAGUGAAUCAUCGAAUCUUUGAACGCACCUUGCGCCCUUUGGCCAUUCCGAAGGGCAUGCCUGUUUGAGUAUCAUGAACACCUCAACUCUCAUGGCUCGCCAUGAUGAGCUUGGACUUUGGGGGUCUUGCUGGCCUGUGGUCGGCUCCUCUCAAAUGGAUCAGCUUGCCAGUGUUUGGUGGCAUCACAGGUGUGAUAACUAUCUGCGCUUGUGGUUUUCCAUCAGAUAACCUUCAGUGAUGGAGGUUCGCUGGAGCUCAUAAACGUCUCCCCUACGCGGGGACAGCCCUUUGAAUGUUUGAUCUCAAAUCAGGUAGGACUACCCGCUGAACUUAAGCAUAUCAAUAAGCGGAGGA
rnacentral:misc_RNA from 1 species